CGGCCACAUAACGUUAGAACACCGGUUCCCGUACGAUCGCCUAAGUUAAGCAACGUCGAGCCGGGUCAGUACUUAGAUGUGUGAUCACAUGUCAUACCAGGUGCUGUAAG